rnacentral:rRNA from 1 species
UACGGAGGGUGCAAACGUUGCUCGGAAUCAUUGGGCGUAAAGCGCACGUAGGCGGCCUGUUAAGUCGGGUGUGAAAGCCCUGGGCUCAACCCAGGAAGUGCACUCGAAACUGGCGGGCUUGAAUAUGGAAGAGGGUCGCGGAAUUCCCGGUGUAGAGGUGAAAUUCGUAGAUAUCGGGAGGAACACCAGUGGCGAAGGCGGCGACCUGGGCCAAUAUUGACGCUGAGGCACGAAAGCGUGGGGAGCAAACAGG